GCAGGAUUAUUUUGUUUCUUAACAGAAUCUGACUAUAUCUGUUAUUUUACUGGAGAACAAUGUGUACGUCUGUUCUGAAGCGGAGAAGAAUUAAAAGGAUAGACUAAUGUUAACUCCACUUGGUAAACACGUGCUUGCUAUGCCUGUCACAGAACAUUCAGACUCUGAUGAAGCAACUUUUCAUGAUGCCCUGAUUAAAUAAUUGAGCUUUACAAUUUGAGUUCUCCUGCAUACCCUGCAAAAGAUUUCAUGGACUGCUUGAUUGAGGCUGUGUCAAAACCCAGACUCAAACUCUGGUGUUUUAAUUCCAAGUUGCGUUCUUUCUAUUAUUCCACAUUGCAUGUUUAUUCGUGUCUUAUGUGCCCUCCGAGACUGUGACUUACUUGAGGACAGGCAAUCAUGCCCCAUUGGCUAAAUUCAACUAGACACUAGACACCAAGGGAGCCCCCGGAUCUAACCCAUAAACGACGUGGAGAAGGAGCCAGGUGAGGUGUGCUGUGGAGGGCAGAAAGACGCCACCAGCCCAAUCCCUUAAAAACAUAAGAGUCACUGGAUCAGAUUGUGAACACUUUUUAAUACAUAUUAGCGAAUGUUUUUCAUAAAGAACUCAUAAUAAAAUGCUUUCACCAUGUUACCUAA
rnacentral:lncRNA from 1 species